CACCAUUGAACCGAAUAGAGAUGCGAGCCGAGCUGAGAAUAGUUUUGAUCCAAGAGCAGAAAAUAUUGGGGAAGCCAAACUCUUGAAGCACGAACAGAAGAAAAUCCCAUCUAAGCGUAUCAAAGGCCUUAUGAAUGUCGACUUUAAGAGCCAUGUUUUUGCCGUGUAAAGACCUCUCCAUGCAGUUCGCCCCUUCUGAGGCAAGAGUGAUACACUCAUGAAUAGAACGUCCCAAAAUAAACCCAAAU
rnacentral:lncRNA from 1 species